rnacentral:rRNA from 1 species
UCGCUGACGAGUGGCGCACGGGUGCGUAACGCGUAUACAAUCUACCUCUUACAGGGGGAUAGCCUUUGGAAACGAAGAUUAAUACCCCAUAGUAUUUACAAUCCGCAUGUUUUGUAAAUUAAAGUUUCGGCGGUAGGAGAUGAGUAUGCGUUCUAUUAGCUAGUAGGUGUGGUAACGGCACACCUAGGCAACGAUAGAUAGGGGCCCUGAGAGGGGGAUCCCCCACACUGGUACUGAGACACGGACCAGACUCCUACGGGAGGCAGCAGUGAGGAAUAUUGGACAAUGGGCGGAAGCCUGAUCCAGCCAUGCCGCGUGCAGGAAGACUGCCCUAUGGGUUGUAAACUGCUUUUGUACGGGAAGAAACCCACCUACGUGUAGGUGGCUGACGGUACCGUAAGAAUAAGCAUCGGCUAACUCCGUGCCAGCAGCCGCGGUAAUACGGAGGAUGCAAGCGUUAUCCGGAAUCAUUGGGUUUAAAGGGUCCGUAGGUGGAUCGGUCAGUCAGAGGUGAAAUCCUGCAGCUCAACUGUAGAACUGCCUUUGAUACUGCCGGUCUUGAAUUAUUGUGAAGUGGUUAGAAUAUGUAGUGUAGCGGUGAAAUGCAUAGAUAUUACAUAGAAUACCGAUUGCGAAGGCAGAUCACUAACAAUAUAUUGACACUGAUGGACGAAAGCGUGGGGAGCGAACGGGAUUAGAUACCCCGGUAGUCCACGCCGUAAACGAUGGUCACUAGCUGUUCGGACUUCGGUCUGAGUGGCUAAGCGAAAGUGAUAAGUGACCCACCUGGGGAGUACGUUCGCAAGAAUGAAACUCAAAGGAAUUGACGGGGGCCCGCACAAGCGGUGGAGCAUGUGGUUUAAUUCGAUGAUACGCGAGGAACCUUACCAGGGCUUAAAUGUAGAUUGCAUUAGCUGGAGACAGCUAUUUCUUCGGACUAUCUACAAGUGC